UGCCAAACCAAAACCUAUAUAAUACUACGACACAGUUGACACAAUGAAAGAAAGUGGAUUUUGGAGAAAGAGCUACCAAGCUUUUCAUUACUCUACUAUAAUAGAUGAUCCCAGAAUUCCCAACACACAAAAUCCAACAAACAACCAGGCCGAUUUUUGUUUCAGAAAUCAAAGGAGACAUUCAUGCAGGGGCGAGGAGACUCAAGGGCAAACAUAGCUGUUAUGUAUGUGUGCUUAAUUCCCCAUUAAGCUGACGACGAACAUUGAAUAUAUAUAU
rnacentral:lncRNA from 1 species